ACCUGACUAGCUCUGUAGGAAGAGCAUGGGACUGUUGAUCUCAGGCUCAUGAGUUCAAGCUCCAUGUCCGGCA
rnacentral:tRNA from 1 species